GUGAUAUGGCAGUGAACGUACACAAUCCAAGAGAGACAUUUUCCUGAUGAAAACUGCUAUUAUUCAUUCCAGAGAAGAGAAGGCUGAGAGUGAGACCUGCAGAAGCACGGCUGGAAGCCAAGGAAAAGGAAAAGAAAAAGCACAAAUGAGAAGGAAAAACAGAGAGAGGAAGAAGAGAGAGGAGAAGGGAGAAAAGCAGAAUGAAUACAGACAAAAAAAAAAGA
rnacentral:lncRNA from 1 species